ACAGGACUCCCUCGGCGACUCUCUCCUUCCGCCAGCCGCUGCCGGACGCCAUGUCAUACGCAUUGGGGGAGCUAUCCACUUCCUUCCUUGCAUGCAAGAACACAUAAAAAGUGCCAGAAAAAAAAGAUCUUGGAGAACUCAACUUUGUGUGCAACUCUUUUGUGAUGUUUAGGCAAUAAUCUGGAGAAAACUUGGGCAAAAUAAUUGCCAGAACUGGGCAAAAUUCAUCCCCGGUGAAAAAAACAGCAAAGAUGAACGGCCUUAGAUCUAAAUGAGCUCUCCGAUAACUUUGUUGAUUGUGAUGAGCUUUCCGAUGACUUUGGAGACGAAUGCAAAAAAAAUAGUGACUCGAUGUUUAAUCUGUGCUGAAGAAAAGACAAUGUAAUUUAUAUUUUCUAAGCGUUGGAGACAUUUUUAUGAACUCAGAGUGACAAUGUAAUUUAUGACGUGAAAACAAUAUUAAGUUGGUUA